GUUAAAAAGCUCGUAGUUGGAUUUCUGUUGAGGGCGACCGGUACGCAUUUCGUGCGCUAUCUGGCUCGGUCUUGGCAUCCUCUUGGGGAACGACUCCAUGCUUAAUUGCACGGAUCGGGAUUCAAGACUUUUACUUUGAGGAAAUUAGAGUGUUCAUGGCAAGCAAGUGCUUUGAAUACAUUAGCAUGGAAUAAUAAUAUAGGACCUUUGUUCUAUUUUGUUGGUUUCUAGAACUAAGGUAAUGAUUAAUAGGGACAAUUGGGGGCAUUCGUAUUAACGCGUCAGAGGUGGAAUUCUUGGAUUGCGUUACGACGAACUACUGCGAAAGCAUUUGCCAAGGAUGUUUUCAUUGAUCAAGAACGAAAGUAUGGGGAUCGAAGACGAUUAGAUACCGUCGUAGUCUAUACCAUAAACUAUGCCAACUAGAGAUUGGAGGUCGUUCUUUUUAUGACUCCUUCAGCAUCUUAUGAGAAAUCAAAGUUUUUGGGUUCCGGGGGGAGUAUGGUCGCAAGGCUGAAACUUAAAGGAAUUGACGGAAGGGCACCACCAGGAGUGGAGCCUGCGGCUUAAUUUGACUCAACACGGGAAAACUUACCAGGUCCAGACAUAAGUAAGGAUUGACAGAUUGAUAGCUC
rnacentral:rRNA from 1 species